AGCGUCCCCAACCUGAGCCUGCCCCCUUACCCCCAGCUGAAAGACACGCUCUUCCUUCUCUACUCUCCAAUCCGAUGAAGUUACCCAUGGGAGAGGGUUUUUUCAGUAGUGGUUUGAUCUUUGCAACUGAUGGCUGGGCUUUCUGUUAUCUCUUCUCGCUGUCAGUUACUAAAAGCUGCUUCUCUAGUCUACAAGAGAUGCCAGUACAUCAGCCAUGAGAGCUGUCAGUACCUUUCCUCUUUCCCUUCAUGGUGAUACUGACAAAACGUACAGCCUUUUGCCUUGUAACCCCUUGUGCGUAUACACUAGCUCCAGGAUGAGGGGCUCUGCUGGUACUGGCACUGGUGGUGGCUAGCGAAGGGGGUGAGAAAUAAAAGGGCAGUGGGACUGUGCCUGGAGAGAUGCUGUGGUCCAGAGGAAGAACAGAGGCUUGAAUCUCAGCCAGAGAUGAGAUGAAUUCUAGCUGCCAUGUGCAGGAAUCAUGGGGGUUUUGUCUAAGAGGUGUGGGUUUUUUUCCUAAGUCUCAGGCUCACCAAACACUCCUAUAAAAACCUACACCAGGACCCCACAAUGCUGUGAAAACAUCAAUAUCUUCUUAUUUAUUUUCGUCUUUAUUCAUUUGCUGAGUUAUCUACACGGGUAAGUGCUGGAGACUUAGCAGCGAAUAAAACAAGCCUUACCCUCAAAGAACCUACAAUCAAGAGGGAAAACUGACCCUUUCAUGAGUAAUUACACCAUAACGAGGUCUGCAGGAACAGAGAGGCCCGUGGGAGUUCUUGUGGGCAUGGAAAGGAGGGCUGUCCCCACUGCCAAGGUUGUAGGAGGAGCUGUGAGGAACAAAGGGCCACUGUGAGGAGCGCUGAGUAUGCUGGAAAGCACUGUGUAAAUAUUUUCAGCAACUCAGGGCCAGAGCAGAGGUGGAAACCCAGAAGAGUAUAGUAGUGUUUGGAGGACAUGUGUGGGGGAUGUCCCAAGACCCCAGUAGUUUUCUGAAUCAGUAGAUAACAACAAACUCUGUAUGCCUUCGUGUGUGUGUGUUUGUGUGUGUGUGUGUGUGUGUGUGUGUGUGUGAGAGAGAGAGAGACUAUGAUAGAGUUUAAUGUAUAAAUUAGGCAAUGGUAAUUAGCAAUAACUACUAGAGUGCUUACAAAAGUGUGCUGCAAUUAAAGUUAUUGAAAGUGAUCCCUCUCAGAACAUAUUUUAAUAGAUAGAAGAUUUUGAAUGUCUUCAUCACAAAUAGAAGAUUAAUGAUAUGAUGGAUAUGUGAAUUAUCUUUGUUUAAAUACUGCACACUAUGUGGACAGAACAAAGCAUUAGUAUUAUAUUUUGCUAUUUUACAUUGUGUGUGUGUGUGUGUGUGUGUGUGUGUGUGUGUGUGUGUGUGUGUGAAUACAUUUGUAAAAGCAUCUCCUACUCUGUGCUGACUAUCCUCGGUUGAAGAUGAGUGAUUGGUGCCACAGAAAACAGUUUUAUAAAAGGGGAAGAAAGCUGUCACCAGGAAAAGGAAAGGGAGAAGAUGAGGAUGCUGGCUUGCUGCGGCUGCCAUGACGAAAUGCACAGGCUGAGGUCUUACAUUCUUUUCUUGCUGAUGUGGAAAGAAUUGGGUGCUGGCAGAAUUUGUUUCUGUGAGGUCUUUCUUGCUGGCUUUGACUUCCUGGGGCUCUUUGCCUGCAUAAGCACACAGAAGGCCAACGGAAUGUCACCUUGUCCUGAGCUUGAUGCCACCUUGUCCUGAGCUUAUAAGACACCUGUCCUGUCAGACUAAGGCCCCCAAUGAUACCCUGACUUGACCUUUAUUGCCUCCUCCUAGGCCUUCCAGUCCCUAUCUCCAAGUAAAUCCAGUCAUGUUGGGGAUAUGAACUUGGGAGGGGAACACAGUUCAGUCCAUGACAAGGAAAAACUGGAGACUUAAUGAGAAACAACUGCUUGACAGACAGAGAAAAUGACCAGAAAGGGCCUUUGCAACACCCAAAAGCAGAUUACAAAAUAAGGAUUCUUCCACAAUGCAAAAUAAAGCUCACACUAUUGAAAUGACUAGGUAUAUAUUAAAUAUCCAGUCGCUGGGGGGCUGCAGCCGGAAUCCAGGUCCACAUGGUCCUACUAUCUGCACUGUUCUUCAUUUCCUACUGAUUGACACACCCAGUGUAUCUAGGAAUCUGGGAGUGAAAAGAAAAAUAAGAUGAGAAUGUGUGCACCCAGAGAAGAAAAUGAAGUCAAGGCCAACCGGGAGGGGCUGUGUCGACCAGCUGGGAAGUCUUAUUUUGAAGACAGUAGGGAGUAUAAGGUGUUUUUUUAGGUCAAACUGUGGCACCCAAUGUGUCCUCGUGGACCUUAGACAGUGGCAUAUACAGAGAUGCUGGAUUCUCAGACUGACAAAGGGAGACCAACUGAAGGCUGACUGUGGAGCCAGAAGGGUUGGGAGAGGAGAGGGCCCGGCCUGGAGCACUGCCUAUACCUUUUCCUAAAGGAGAGGAUGAGCGUUACAGUGUCAUAGGCUGUUUUCUUGACCCCUUGCAUUUUAGCGUUAAGGAGAAGCACAAAAUUUUUAUCUUCAAUAUUGAAAAGACCUGAGUUUCAUGCCCAGAGCCCAUAUU
rnacentral:lncRNA from 1 species